rnacentral:rRNA from 1 species
GACGAACGCUGGCGGCGUGCUUAACACAUGCAAGUCGAACGGACAGGCCCUGCUUUUGUGGGGUUCUCGAGAGGCGAACGGGUGAGUGACACGUGUGUAACCUGCCCCUGUCUUUGGGAUAACUUCAGGAAACUGGGGCUAAUACCGGAGAGGAGCUCCUGCUGCAUGGUGGUGGUUGGUAAGUUUCGGCGGUUGUGGAUGGACUCGCGGCUUAUCCGCUUCUUGGUGAGGUAGUGGCUUACCAAGGCUGUGACGGGUAGCCUGCCUGAGAGGUUGAACGGGGACCAUGGGCCUGAGAGACGGCGCAGAAUGGUACGGUACGCAGCGGUCGAGAACAUUGCGCAGUGGGCGGAAGCCAGAGGCGGCGACGUUGGGAUCGGGAUGACGGGCUACUAGGUAUAAACAGAUGUGGACUGUGACGUGGCGGGAGUGACGGUACUGGGUAAAAAAGCACCGGCUAACUACGUG